rnacentral:rRNA from 1 species
UACGUAGGCAGCAAGCGUUGUUCGGAAUUACUGGGCGUAAAGAGUGUGUAGGCGGUUCUCUAUGUUCGGUGUGAAAUCUCCCGGCUUAACUGGGAGGGUGCGCCGAAAACUGGAGGGCUUGAGUAUGGGAGAGGAAAGCGGAAUUCCUGGUGUAGCGGUGAAAUGCGUAGAUAUCAGGAGGAACACCUGCGGUGUAGACGGCUUUCUGGACCAUCACUGACGCUGAGACACGAAAGCGUGGGUAGCAAACAGG